AAGUCGAACGGUAGAGGGGGCAACCCCUCGAGAGUGGCGAACGGGUGAGUAAUAUAUCGGAACGUGCCCAGUCGUGGGGGAUAACGUAGCGAAAGUUACGCUAAUACCGCAUACGAUCUACGGAUGAAAGCGGGGGACUCGCAAGAGCCUCGCGCGAUUGGAGCGGCCGAUAUCAGAUUAGGUAGUUGGUGGGGUAAAGGCUCACCAAGCCAACGAUCUGUAGCUGGUCUGAGAGGACGACCAGCCACACUGGAACUGAGACACGGUCCAGACUCCUACGGGAGGCAGCAGUGGGGAAUUUUGGACAAUGGACGCAAGUCUGAUCCAGCCAUUCCGCGUGCAGGAUGAAGGCCCUCGGGUUGUAAACUGCUUUUGUACGGAACGAAAAGGUCUCUCUUAAUACGAGGGGCUCAUGACGGUACCGUAAGAAUAAGCACCGGCUAACUACGUGCCAGCAGCCGCGGUAAUACGUAGGGUGCAAGCGUUAAUCGGAAUUACUGGGCGUAAAGCGUGCGCAGGCGGUUAUGUAAGACAGAGGUGAAAUCCCCGGGCUCAACCUGGGAACUGCCUUUGUGACUGCAUAGCUAGAGUACGGUAGAGGGGGAUGGAAUUCCGCGUGUAGCAGUGAAAUGCGUAGAUAUGCGGAGGAACACCGAUGGCGAAGGCAAUCCCCUGGACCUGUACUGACGCUCAUGCACGAAAGCGUGGGGAGCAAACAGGAUUAGAUACCCUGGUAGUCCACGCCCUAAACGAUGUCAACUGGUUGUUGGGUCUUCA
rnacentral:rRNA from 1 species